rnacentral:rRNA from 1 species
UUAAGCGACUAAGCGUACACGGUGGAUGCCCUGGCAGUCAGAGGCGAUGAAGGGCGUGCUAAUCUGCGAUAAGCGCCGGUAAGGUGAUAUGAACCGUUAUAACCGGCGAUACCCGAAUGGGGAAACCCAGUGUGAUUCGUCACACUAUCAUUAACUGAAUCCAUAGGUUAAUGAGGCGAACCGGGGGAACUGAAACAUCUAAGUACCCCGAGGAAAAGAAAUCAACCGAGAUUCCCCCAGUAGCGGCGAGCGAACGGGGAGGAGCCCAGAGCCUGAAUCAGCAUGUGUGUUAGUGGAAGCGUCUGGAAAGGCGCGCGAUACAGGGUGACAGCCCCGUACACAAAAGCGCAUAUGCUGUGAGCUCGAUGAGUAGGGCGGGACACGUGGUAUCCUGUCUGAAUAUGGGGGGACCAUCCUCCAAGGCUAAAUACUCCUGACUGACCGAUAGUGAACCAGUACCGUGAGGGAAAGGCGAAAAGAACCCCGGCGAGGGGAGUGAAAAAGAACCUGAAACCGUGUACGUACAAGCAGUGGGAGCCCCACCACUAAGCCAGUGGUGAACUCCACAUACGCAUCCUUUGCUGAGGAGACGGUUAACGGAGCGAAAGCGACGUUCAACCUCAAAAGAAGCAGAGGGGGCUUAGUGGUGGGGUGACUGCGUACCUUUUGUAUAAUGGGUCAGCGACUUAUAUUCUGUAGCAAGGUUAACUGUAUAGGGGAGCCGGAGGGAAACCGAGUCUUAACCGGGCGUUAAGUUGCAGGGUAUAGACCCGAAACCCGGUGAUCUAGCCAUGGGCAGGUUGAAGGUUGGGUAACACUAACUGGAGGACCGAACCGACUAAUGUUGAAAAAUUAGCGGAUGACCUGUGGCUGGGGGUGAAAGGCCAAUCAAACCGGGAGAUAGCUGGUUCUCCCCGAAAGCUAUUUAGGUAGCGCCUCGUGAAUUCAUCUCCGGGGGUAGAGCACUGUUUCGGCUAGGGGGCCAUCCCGGCUUACCAACCCGAUGCAAACUGCGAAUACCGGAGAAUGUUAUCACGGGAGACACACGGCGGGUGCUAAUGUCCGUCGUGAAGAGGGAAACAACCCAGACCGCCAGCUAAGGUCCCAAAGUCAUGGUUAAGUGGGAAACGAUGUGGGAAGGCCCAGACAGCCAGGAUGUUGGCUUAGAAGCAGCCAUCAUUUAAAGAAAGCGUAAUAGCUCACUGGUCGAGUCGGCCUGCGCGGAAGAUGUAACGGGGCUAAACCAUGCACCGAAGCUGCGGCAGCGACACCGUGUGUUGUUGGGUAGGGGAGCGUUCUGUAAGCCUGUGAAGGUGUGCUGUGAGGCAUGCUGGAGGUAUCAGAAGUGCGAAUGCUGACAUAAGUAACGAUAAAGCGGGUGAAAAGCCCGCUCGCCGGAAGACCAAGGGUUCCUGUCCAACGUUAAUCGGGGCAGGGUGAGUCGACCCCUAAGGCGAGGCCGAAAGGCGUAGUCGAUGGGAAACGGGUUAAUANAAUUCGAUGCAACGCGAAGAACCUUACCUGGUCUUGACAUCCACAGAACUUUCCAGAGAUGGAUUGGUGCCUUCGGGAACUGUGAGACAGGUGCUGCAUGGCUGUCGUCAGCUCGUGUUGUGAAAUGUUGGGUUAAGUCCCGCAACGAGCGCAACCCUUAUCCUUUGUUGCCAGCGGUCCGGCCGGGAACUCAAAGGAGACUGCCAGUGAUAAACUGGAGGAAGGUGGGGAUGACGUCAAGUCAUCAUGGCCCUUACGACCAGGGCUACACACGUGCUACAAUGGCGCAUACAAAGAGAAGCGACCUCGCGAGAGCAAGCGGACCUCAUAAAGUGCGUCGUAGUCCGGAUUGGAGUCUGCAACUCGACUCCAUGAAGUCGGAAUCGCUAGUAAUCGUGGAUCAGAAUGCCACGGUGAAUACGUUCCCGGGCCUUGUACACACCGCCCGUCACACCAUGGGAGUGGGUUGCAAAAGAAGUAGGUAGCUUAACCUUCGGGGGGGCGCUUACCACUUUGUGAUUCAUGACUGGGGUGAAGUCGUAACAAGGUAACCGUAGGGGAACCUGCGGUUGGAUCACCUCCUUACCUUAAAGAAGCGUACUUUGCAGUGCUCACACAGAUUGUCUGAUGAAAAGUGAAUAGCAAGGCGUCUUGCGAAGCAGACUGAUACGUCCCCUUCGUCUAGAGGCCCAGGACACCGCCCUUUCACGGCGGUAACAGGGGUUCGAAUCCCCUAGGGGACGCCACUUGCGCGGUAAUGUGUGAAAGGCGUUGCCAUCAGUAUCUCAAAACUGACUUACGAGUCACGUUUGAGAUAUUUGCUCUUUAAAAAUCUGGAUCAAGCUGAAAAUUGAAACACAGAACAACGAAAGUUG